GCGUGCUGUAGGUAUAUACUACUAAUAAAAAAAAAUGAACUAAUAGAACAUGUGUAAGAAAAUGAAUGUCAAAAGCAGUAGAAUCACAUUUAAUUUAGUAAAUGACAUGACAUCUGCAGAUAAUUAUUACGGUCUUGAUGGGGGUACUUCAUUUAUGUAUAUCUGGAUUUUUUUUGUAACGGUAGUUUUUCGGUAUUGUUUUUGUAUGUCCAUUAUUGUUUUUUUUUUUUUUUUUAGAAUUAAGCAUCUAUUUAUUCUCAAUGUUUUUUUUUCGUAAAUUUUUACGAAUACUUCGCUUAUUAUUGAAUAUUCUGUUAUUCGCACUAUACGAU
rnacentral:lncRNA from 1 species